rnacentral:rRNA from 1 species
UGGGGAAUAUUGCACAAUGGGCGCAAGCCUGAUGCAGCCAUGCCGCGUGUAUGAAGAAGGCCUUCGGGUUGUAAAGUACUUUCAGUCGGGAGGAAGGUGGUAAGGUUAAUAACCUUAUCAAUUGACGUUACCGACAGAAGAAGCACCGGCUAACUCCGUGCCAGCAGCCGCGGUAAUACGGAGGGUGCAAGCGUUAAUCGGAAUUACUGGGCGUAAAGCGCACGCAGGCGGUUGAUUGAGUCAGAUGUGAAAUCCCCGGGCUUAACCCGGGAAUUGCAUCUGAUACUGGCAAGCUUGAGUCUCGUAGAGGGGGGUAGAAUUCCAGGUGUAGCGGUGAAAUGCGUAGAGAUCUGGAGGAAUACCGGUGGCGAAGGCGGCCCCCUGGACAAAGACUGACGCUCAGGUGCGAAAGCGUGGGGAGCAAACAGG